CCCAGUAGACAUGUAUUAGUGUUUAGUCUAGCCUGGAUGUCUCUGUCUAUCUGGGACUGGCUUUCAGAGAGUACAGUCAGCCCCAGUAGACAUGUAUUAGUGUUCAGUCUAGCCUGGAUGUCUCUGUCUAUCUGGGACUGGCUUUCAGAGAGUACAGUCAGCCCCAGUAGACAUGUAUUAGUGUUUAGUCUAGCUUGGAUGUCUCUGUCUAUCUGGGAUUGGCUUUCAGAGAGUUUAUCAAUGAUCUAUUUACUCUAUUUACAUGAUUGUUGAUGACCUUGUCAGAUAACAAGACAGAAGAUCACUCUGAAUAUAUGGCUAUGCACUGUUGACCUGUUAAUGUGUCUGGUGUGUGUGUUUGUGUGUGCAUGCGUGCGUGUGCGCUCAUGUUUGUUUGUGCACGCGUGUCUGUGUCUGCGUGUCCAUGAAUGCACGGGAGAGAACAGAUUAAAUUCUAUGUUUUUUUGCUGCUGUUGUAAUAGCUCUACUUCACACUGCCUAUCUCAGUAGAGUCUCAACUCAGUCCAACUGAAGAUCCUGACACACAGACACUAUGGGUGGAGAAACAUCACAUGACAUCUCAGACUACGACUUUAACUAUGGUAAAAAGCUCAGCUGUUGGAAGGGUCAUGCAAAGCCUGUGAACCCCGCUGAACCUUGAAACAAGACAUUGACCAGAGACAGCCAUGAUUGGACCCAGGGACAUCCCUAUGACAUCAAAACCUUGGCAAGAUGAGGGAUCACUAUACAUUUGUAUUUUACUAAUGGAGGAACAAUAUGAAGAGUGAUGGGUGGUGACUGUCACAUUACAAUAAUAUAAAAUUAGCAUUAAUAAAACCUUUUUUUUC